rnacentral:rRNA from 1 species
AGGAAAAGAAAAUAACAAUGAUUUCCCUAGUAACGGCGAGUGAAGAGGAAAGAGCUCAAAGUUGGAACCUGUUUGGCUUAGCUAAACCGGAUUGUAAACUGUAGAAGUGUUUUCCUGACACGCCAGAUAAAUAAGUCCUUUGGAACAGGGCAUCAUAGAGGGUGAGAAUCCCGUCUUUGGUCUGAGCUGUUGUCUUUUGUGAUACAUUUUCAAAGAGUCAGGUUGUUUGGGAAUGCAGCCUAAAUAGGGAGGUAAAUCUCUCCUAAAGCUAAAUAUUUGCGAGAGACCGAUAGCGAACAAGUACCGUGAGGGAAAGAUGAAAAGAACUUUGAAAAGAGAGUUAAACAGUAUGUGAAAUUGUUAAAAGGGAACCGUUUGGAGCCAGACUGGCUUGACUGUAAUCAAUCUAGAUCUUUCUGGAUGCACUUGCAGUUUAUGCCUGCCAACGACAAUUUUUUCUGGGAGAAAAAACUAGGAGGAAUGUAGCCCUUCGGGGUGUUAUAGCUUCUUAGAAAAUAUCCUGGAUUGGAUUGAGGAUCGCAGUGAAUGCCUUUAGGCAAGAUUGCUGGGCGCUUUUGUUGAUAAAUGCUAGAAUUUCUGCUUCAGGUGGUGCUAGUGUUUAAAGGUGAAACUCGUUUAGUAUAUUU